rnacentral:rRNA from 1 species
UACGGAGGCCCCAAGCGUUGUUCGGAUUUAUUGGGCGUAAAGGGUGCGUAGGCGGCGUGGUAAGUCUGGUGUGAAAGGCGGGGGCUCAACCCUCGGACUGCAUUGGAUACUGCCAUGCUAGAGGACUGGAGAGGAGAAUGGAAUUCACGGUGGAGCAGUGAAAUGCGUAGAUAUCGUGAGGAAGGCCAGUGGCGAAGGCGAUUCUCUGGACAGUACCUGACGCUGAGGCACGAAGGCUGGGGGAGCGAACAGG